CCACUGAGCUUACACAAGUGUGUGACCCACCGUAGUGCAGGACUUACAGCCCCAAGUGCCAGGGGACAGUGUCAGGUGGGGAGUUGCACUGGGGUAGUAUACCUGUCAAACCCUCUGAGGGUGAGUCCAGGGAAGGUGGAAAUCUCCUGUGGAGCAGAAGGGCAAAAGCUCACCUGAUCUUGAUUUUCAGAUUUUUUGUGUAAGAGGGGCCAUAUCUGACUUUUUGUUUAGUAAGUGGGAGCUGUCGUAGAAGUUGCCAUAGGGAUGACAGGGAGGCCAAGUGUUUAUAAUGACACAAAAUCAAGAAUUUAAAGUCUAAAAUUGCUUUUUCAUCUCUGUGUCUGCUCUUUUUUUCAGUGUGAGGCGGAAUUCACUGAGCUCUGGAUUGUUCCCCUGCUAACAAGGAAUGUGACCUGGCUUUUGGCUGUUCUAAGAAAGGUUA
rnacentral:ncRNA from 1 species